GAUGAACGCUAGCGGCAGGCUUAAUACAUGCAAGUCGAGGGGCAGCGCAGUGUAGCAAUACAUGGGCGGCGACCGGCAAACGGGUGCGGAACACGUACACAACCUUCCUACAAGUGGGGAAUAGCCCAGAGAAAUUUGGAUUAAUACCCCGUAACAUAGCGAUGUGGCAUCACAUUGCUAUUAUAGCUUCGGCGCUUGUUGAUGGGUGCGCGGCUGAUUAGAUGGUUGGCGGGGUAACGGCCCACCAAGUCUACGAUCAGUAGCUGAUGUGAGAGCAUGAUCAGCCACACGGGCACUGAGACACGCGCCCGACUCCUACGGGAGGCAGCAGUAAGGAAUAUUGGACAAUGGACGCAAGUCUGAUCCAGCCAUGCCGCGUGAAGGAUUAAGGUCCCCUGGAUUGUAAACUUCUUUUAUAAGGGACGAAAAAAGGUCUUUCUAGAUCGUCUGACGGUACCUUAUGAAUAAGCACCGGCUAACUCCGUGCCAGCCGCCGCAGUAAAAC
rnacentral:rRNA from 1 species